rnacentral:rRNA from 1 species
UACGUAGGGUGCGAGCGUUAAUCGGAAUUACUGGGCGUAAAGCGUGCGCAGGCUGUUCUGUAAGUCAGAUGUGAAAUCCCCGAGCUCAACUUGGGAACUGCGUUUGAAACUACAGACUAGAAUAUGUCAGAGGGGGGUAGAAUUCCACGUGUAGCAGUGAAAUGCGUAGAGAUGUGGAGGAAUACCAAUGGCGAAGGCAGCCCCCUGGGAUAAUAUUGACGCUCAUGCACGAAAGCGUGGGGAGCAAACAGG